rnacentral:rRNA from 1 species
GCAAGUCGAACGCAUUUUCUUUCACCGUAGCUUGCUACACCGAAAGAAAAUGAGUGGCGAACGGGUGAGUAACACGUGGGUAACCUGCCCAUCAGCGGGGGAUAACACUUGCAAACAGGUGCUAAUACCGCAUAAUUCCUUUUACUGCAUGGUAGAUGGAUGAAAGGCGCUGUUGCGUUACUGAUGGAUGGACCCGCGGUGCAUUAGCUAGUUGGUGGGGUAACGGCCUACCAAGGCGGCGAUGCAUAGCCGACCUGAGAGGGUGAGC